UACGGAGGGGGGCUAGCGUUGUUCGGAAUUACUGGGCGUAAAGCGCACGUAGGCGGCUUUGCAAGUUAGAGGUGAAAGCCCGGGGCUCAACUCCGGAAUUGCCUUUAAAACUGCAUCGCUAGAAUUGUGGAGAGGUAAGUGGAAUUCCGAGUGUAGAGGUGAAAUUCGUAGAUAUUCGGAAGAACACCAGUGGCGAAGGCGGCUCACUGGUCCGGUACUGACGCUGAGGUGCGAAAGCGUGGGGAGCAAACAGG
rnacentral:rRNA from 1 species